CCAGGCAUGGAUCAAGUCAUUCUGUACAGGUGAAAGAUCCUUGGUUAAUGAUUAUUAUGAAGGCAGAGAUGAUAUAGAGAUGACAAUGCAAAAUAGGCUCUAAUGACUGACCAAGUAAGGUGGUCAACUUGGAUUCAUUAGUAAUUCUAUAGCCUGCCUAAUGUACAGAGGAUAGAAUAACUGAAGGCAGAACAAAAAUACCACCUCUAUCAAGUUUGAUUCAGUACGAUUAGCAAUUUACCAGCCAUUUUGUCACAUAAUCAAUCAAGCAUCAGUAGUAACUUUUUAACAUAACAUUGCCGUUGAGUUUUUAGUUAUGGAUGGCCAAUUAUGUCUUUAUCGAGUGCUAGUACCACCCCAGCACCCCCUCAGGUUCCAAUAUGAAAAGGACUUGUUGAGACAGUAACUAUUAUACCUGGAUCAUAUUCCAUACACAUUGCCAAGCUGCCCUUGAGAAGACAGGUGCCAUCAUUU
rnacentral:misc_RNA from 1 species